rnacentral:lncRNA from 1 species
GUGUGUGACCUGGAACAAGAAACUCUCUGGAUGUGAACUUUGUGAACUGGUAUCCACCCCUCCUUUUAGGCUAAUGUUGCCUGUGGACGUUCCCGGAGGCAGGAACCCCGGCCCGUGCUUCGCCAUUGAGCACAAUCACAGUCUCACUGGGGACUAACAAUCCACUGAGGUUUACCGUGUGGCAGUGCCUCUGAACACGUCACCCACAAGUAACCUCAGCCUGCGGAUACAGGAGAGUGAGACCUCAGGGCCUGGUCUGGAUGAGAGUAAGGCUGAUGAAGUCACUGCCCACUGCUCUUCCUGUUCUCCGGGUUUUCUGGAGCUUCUGACCGAACACCCUGUGUGUCUCCCAUGGAAGCCUCGGGAGAAGAUGGAGAAAACCACAGGCGGCCUCAGCUGUGGCCAGCAGCUCUCCCUCUGUACUGGGGCUGGACACGCAGACAUGGAAGCUUAGAGCAGUAGGGGACCUUCAGGCCAACCAGGCCAGCCCCUGUUUUACAACCAGGGAACUGAGGUCCGGGUGAAGUGACCUGCCCGGGGCCACGUGGCCUGUUAUGUAGAGAGUCCUAGUCACUUGAUUAGCAGCUCACUGUGCCUUUCACGGUUCACGCCUCUGUUAGGAGUCUCAGGUGAAACAGUGAACGUAAAUGUGCACGGGGACCUUCCCGACCCAGGGAUCACACCUGUGUCUCCCGCACUGCAGGCAGAUUCUUUACCAUCUGAGCCAACUUAGGCGCAUUUCCCAGUGGAAUGAGAACAACAGUGAGUUGGACUGCCGUUUUUAAACCUUCGCUUGUACAGCAUGUUCAGGCAACAAGGAGGUUUACCAUCUAUGUAAAAGCACUAAAGGGCUUCCCUGGUGGUUCAAUGGUAAAGAAUCCCUUUGGAGAAGGAAAUGGCAACCCACCCCAGUAUUCUUGCCUGGGAAAUCUCAUGGACAGAGGAACCUGGUGAGCUAUAGUCCAUUGGGGUCACAAAUGAGUUGGACAUGACUUAGAAAUUAAACAACAACAAAAAACACACCAAAACACAGAAGGUGCUAUAUAAAGGCUUUUAUUGUAAUCAUACCAAUAAUCUUUUAUUAUAAUGUUAAAUGUAAUAAAUAUAAUUGGAUGAUGCUAAUUCA